UGGCUGUAAGUUUGUCAUAUUAUGGUAU
rnacentral:piRNA from 1 species